AUUGAACGCUGGCGGCAGGCCUAACACAUGCAAGUCGAGCGAGCGGCUGACGGGUGAGUAAUGUCUGGGAAACUGCCUGAUGGAGGGGGAUAACUACUGGAAACGGUAGUUAAUACCGCAUUCCAUAAGAUGUGCCCAGAUGGGAUUAGCGAGUAGGUGGGGUAAUGGCGCACCUAGGCGACGAUCCCUAGCUGGUCUGAGAGGAUGACCAGCGACGCUGGAACUGAGACACGGUGCAGACUCCUGGGGGAGACAGCAAGAGGGAUCAUACAGGCAAGAGAGCAAGCCAGGUGCAGCAGUGGCGAGGGUGUGAAGAAGGCCUGCAGGUUGUAGGGGACUAUCAGCGGGAAGACCAAACCAGCACAGUAAGAACCGGCUAACUCCGUGCCAGCAGCCGCGGUAAUAC
rnacentral:rRNA from 1 species